rnacentral:lncRNA from 1 species
UAAGAAAUUUUGACGGGUUCGACAAUGACUUCCUGUUUACAUCGUACCAGCCAAAUAGCGACCGGCAUUGCGGGCUGCCAAUUUCGCAACCUCUGCAAUGCUCGGCAAAGCUCGGCACAGCCAGGCUGACACUGGGUAAAAUGGCGGAGUCUGCAAGCUCUUCAGAGCCCCAGCGAACGGUGCGUUAUCUGUCCCAGGAGCUGAGUGACCGGAGAAGAGCAAAAACCGGAGUAAAUAUCGGUGAAGCAUACGCUCGAUGGACUCAGGUAAAGGAUUUCCACGGCAUCUAAACACACGCGGAAAUGGCGAACUUUCUCCUGGAUCGGUCGAUUACCUAUCUUUUCUCGGAGGUAGAACUCCUGGCGUCAAUGUGAGAAGAAUGAUGUGCCGACAGGACCAAUGCCAUUUGAGGCCUGCCAGAAGAACCACCCAAGACCCUGAAGAAGACGGUUGAAAUUUGCAUUUCAGAUACCCUGUGAUAUGCUCCCCACAGACGGAGUCAGGUGGAUAAAGCAGGUGGACCGUCUGUGACAGAGGACGAUAAUGCAAGUGGACUGUCUGUGACGGAGAACGAUCAUGCAGGUGGACCGUCUGUGGUUCAGAGCCAUGAAAAUAUAGCAGUGCUUGAGGGGAGCAGAAGCCCCUCAUUGUUGGAGGACUCUGACAAAAAUUUUUUUUCUGUCUUUUUGAAGUUUAAAAUGAAUAAAAUUAAUCUUUUUUUCUCAUCGAUCUAAUCAAUAAAUAAGCUAAAAUUUCUAAAAAUAUGUUUUUGCUUAGUCAUAAUUAUUAUUUCAUUGUUCGAAGACAUUUUAUGCCUUUUUGUCGAUUUUUUCUUGUAUUAUUGUAUUACAAACUGUAUUUUGUGUUACUGUUGCCAAAAAGUUAAGUUAAAAGUUUAUGUUUAAAGUGUGGGCUUUGCCAGUUUUUGUUGAUUUUUUGGUCUUUUUGGUUCUAAAGGAUCGUGUAGUGGGGAAAUGAAAAUGAAUGAAAAGUUACUGCAAAACAUGUAUAGAUUUUUUUAAAAGCAUGUUAUCUAACUCUUAAAUAGUAUCAUUCCAGGAACAUUAAAAACUUUCAUCUGAAAAUGUUUUAAGAACAUUUGGGCAUAAUGUUCUAACAGAG